rnacentral:rRNA from 2 species
GACGAACGCUGGCGGUGUGCUUAACACAUGCAAGUCGAACGGUAAGGCCCUUUCGGGGGUACACGAGUGGCGAACGGGUGAGUAACACGUGAGUAACCUGCCCUCAUCUCUGGGAUAACAGUCGGAAACGGUUGCUAAUACUGGAUAUGAGCUUGCAAGGCAUCUUGUGGGUUGGAAAGAUUUUUUGGUUGGGGAUGGACUCGCGGCCUAUCAGCUUGUUGGUGAGGUAGUGGCUCACCAAGGCUUCGACGGGUAGCCGGCCUGAGAGGGCGACCGGCCACAUUGGGACUGAGAUACGGCCCAGACUCCUACGGGAGGCAGCAGUGGGGAAUAUUGCACAAUGGACGGAAGUCUGAUGCAGCAACGCCCGCGUGCGGGGAUGACGGCCCUUCG